GAUGAACGCUGGCGGCGUGCUUAACACAUGCAAGUCGAACGAAGCAUUUUACCGGAACAUUUUCGGAUGGGAAGUUAAAAUGACUGAGUGGCGGACGGGUGAGUGACGCGUGGAUAACCUACCAUAUACAGGGGGACAACAGUUGGAAACGACUGCUAAUACCGCAUAAGCGCACAGUGCCGCAUGGCACGGUGUGAAAAACUCCGGUGGUAUAUGAUGGAUCCGCGUCUGAUUAGCUAGUUGGUGAGGUAAUGGCCCACCAAGGCAACGAUCAGUAGCCGACCUGAGAGGGUGACCGGCCACAUUGGGACUGAGACACGGCCCAAACUCCUACGGGAGGCAGCAGUGGGGAAUAUUGCACAAUGGGCGAAAGCCUGAUGCAGCGACGCCGCGUGAGCGAAGAAGUAUUUCGGUAUGUAAAGCUCUAUCAGCAGGGAAGAAAAUGACGGUACCUGACUAAGAAGCCCCGGCUAACUACGUGCCAGCACGG
rnacentral:rRNA from 1 species